rnacentral:rRNA from 1 species
CCUACGGGAGGCAGCAGUAAGGAAUAUUGGUCAAUGGAGGCAACUCUGAACCAGCCAUGCCGCGUGCAGGAUGACGGCCCUAUGGGUUGUAAACUGCUUUUAUACAAGAGAAAACCCUGGUACGUGUACCAGGUUGAUAGUAUUGUAAGAAUAAGCAUCGGCUAACUUCGUGCCAGCAGCCGCGGUAAGACGAAGGAUGCAAGCGUUAUCCGGAUUCAUUGGGUUUGAAGGGUGCGUAGGCGGACUGAUAAGUCAGUGGUGAAAUCUCUUUGCUUAACAAAGAAACUGCCAUUGAUACUGUCGGUCUAGAGUAUAGAUGACGUUGGCGGAAUAUGACAUGUAGUGGUGAAAUACUUAGAUAUGUCAUAGAACACCGAUUGCGAAGGCAGCUAACGAAACUAUAACUGACGCUGAGGCACGAAAGUGGNGGAGUACAACAGAGUAGUAUACCUACGUAGUCGCACCGUAACGAUAGUAUUACUCGUUGUUGGUCG